rnacentral:lncRNA from 1 species
GUAAUUCUGUAUCGUCAAACUCCAAUUUGGGUUCAAAAUCAUGCAAGUCUGACAAACUCGGCUGAGGUUCUUCGGAAUUCUCCACCACCGGAUUUAUUGCUGGUCCUGCGGGGCCUUUAAGCGGCAAGAAAAUUGUGUUUUGAUGAUUAAUAAUGAAGAGAAAGUUGAUCAUUUAAUGUAUUUCUCAAAUAGUUAUUAAAAAAUUAUCAAGCAACAUUAGUAAAUGUGUACAACACAUAUCAAACAAGACAAGCUGUAAACUAUUCGGAAAUCACAACAUGCAGCAUAUAAUCAUGUUUGUAAUGGAAUUCAAAACAAAUAUAAGUAAACAAGCAAAAUACAUUUUUAAAUGGUAUGAAAGCAAAUCUAAUGUUGACUUAUACAUAAGUAUGUAUGUAUGUAUAUCCACAAAUUUGAUACGCAACUUUAAAAGCUAAUGUAUACCGAUAAAUAUACCCAAAAUAUGGAUGAGAUUGAUCUAUAAAAUUUCUAUAUCCAUAGUUAUAAUUACACAUUUAACUUAUAACGUUUAGUAAAACAAAUUUUGAAAAUAAAUGUUUGAUCAUGCUCCUUUA